CGAAGAAAGACGCCAGAUUUAGCAGAAGAAACAUGCAGGAUGUGCAGGCAAGUUUGGAUUACACAGAAAGAAGAAAUGUUUUUUAUCGAUACCCGCAUCCUGUGUGCUUCUCAGGACUUAUUUUCACAUAUACACAGUAAAUAGGGACUUGUUUAUCUGACGUCAUUCUGCAUCAAGCAGCCCACGUUCAAUGUGGAAGCUUCACCAAACAACAUGGCCGUGUUCGAUGAGGUGACAAAACGGUAACCACGAUUGCUAACCAGCCACUGCUCUGAAGUCCACGGAGCCUUUACAACUCUAUAGCCAGACAAGCCUGACACUUCAACUGAAACUAAGACUCAGAGAGGAGGGAUUUGCCCAGGAUCCCACUGGUUGCUCUUUAGCCUGUGAUUCUAUACUUGAGUCACCUUCACAGCUCUGUGGAUUGAGUAUUUCGAGGGCUUGCUUAUCUGGGAGAAGUUUUGUCUGGCUUAGUGGAAGUGACUUUUGCUUCUGGGAAGACGAUGACCAGGACUGGCCCAGUUGGACUCCUGUCGUCUUCUGGAGAACAAGGCUUUGGACAGGAAGACACAGUUUCGGCGAAGAAUUGACAGACAGAGACACCUUGAUGGUUUUGACUCUGCUGCAACUUUACUGAAAUAAAGCUAGUAUUUUUAUACAAAAGGCACCUUAAAAUUGGCAUACUUCCCAGAACAUUCAGACUUUUUACCAAGAAUACAAAGUUUACAUUUUAACUCAGAAUGCAGUCAAACAUAAAGCAGUGCCCACAAGUAAUCUUGGCCUAAAAACUUUUUGAUCAGAGCAAACAAAGGAAAAGAAACCUCAAAUAUAGUUUCAUUAUUGCUAACCAGUGAAGAGGAAAGUCAGGAGCUAAGUCAGAUGCCUGCCAAAGUCCCUCUCUAUAUCAAAAUCUAACUACACCUUUGUUAACCUUCCUCCCAUAUGUCCUGCCCAAGAUUUAUGAUCUUCCUUAGGAACAAGGCACUGAAGGGAGGGGGAAACUCCCGCCAGCUGUACCUCUCAUGCUAUUAUUUCUUAAGAAGGAGCCUAUUAUUUUUUCACUAUUUUUAAUGCCUAUUAAUACUAAAUCUAAUUCAUUACUUUUCUUAAACUUAUUAUUUUUAUUAAAGCCUUUAACAAUCUACUAAUGAUAAUUUUCUUUAUAAAAUUAGUUGUGCUGUUUCAGGUGUCACAGAGAAAGAUCAAAGAAUUCAUUAUUCCAGCCCCAGAGCCACAACUGAAGAAGCGUAGAAAUCUCAGAACACGUCUCUUUUCCAAGUGGGAUGAGUUUGCCAGGGACCUUCCAGGGGGCGAAUUUCUGGAGAAAUCAUAUCCCCCGCCCUGUAGCUUAUGCUACUAUGGCGACACUGGCGUGGGUGUUGGCAGUUUUCUGAUUUUGUGUUUUUCUUUUUACUUUCUUCACACUGUCCAAAAUAAAACACCUUGAAUUACC